ACACAGAAGGCCCUGACUCACACAUAAAGACCAAAGACAAGAGAUCAUCAAAGACUGAGAGAAAUGAAUUGUGCAGAACCCAGAAAGAAAGACCUGAGCCAGAUGAGCCUUAUGAUUCCAACUCAGAUGAAGGCCCUGACUCACACAUAAAGACCAAAGACAAGAGAUCAUCAAAGACUGAGAGAAAUGAAUUGUGCAGAACCCAGACCUGAGCCAGACGAGCCUUAUGAUUCCAACUCAGAUGGAAUGUAUUUUAUCAUACUGUAUACAGCUUACGCCUGUAUCACACAUACUCCGUAUGCAGUACGUUUGCGGUGCGUAAUUUUUUACAUCCCAUGUU